rnacentral:rRNA from 1 species
AGAGUUUGAUCCUGGCUCAGAACGAACGUUGGCGGCAUGGAUUAGGCAUGCAAGUCGCGGGAAUCCAGCAAUGGGGAACCGGCGUAAGGGGCAGUAAGGCAUGGGUAUCUACCCAGGGGUUCGGGAUAGCCACCAGAGAUGGUGGGUAAUACCGGAUGACGUCGUGAGACCAAAGGUCCGCCGCCCUUGGAGGAGCCCAUGUGAUAUUAGCUAGUUGGUGAGGUAACGGCUCACCAAGGCGAAGAUGUCUAGCGGGUGUGAGAGCACGACCCGCGCCACUCGCACUGAGACACUGGCGAGACACCUACGGGUGGCUGCAGUCGAGGAUCUUCGGCAAUGGGGGCAACCCUGACCGAGCGAUGCCGCGUGCGCGAUGAAGGCCUUCGGGUUGUAAAGCGCGAAAGUGGGGAGAAAAACCGAAAGGUGUGAUCUAUCCACAGUAAGCUCGGGCUAAGUUCGUGCCAGCAGCCGCGGUAAGACGAACCGAGCGAACGUUGUUCGGAAUCACUGGGCUUAAAGGGCGCGUAGGCGGGCUGUCAAGUCUGGGGUGAAAUCCCGCGGCUCAACCGUGGAACUGCCUCAGAUACUGACGGCCUCGAGGGAGAUAGGGGCGAGCGGAACUAAUGGUGGAGCGGUGAAAUGCGUUGAUAUCAUUAGGAACUCCGGUGGCGAAAGCGGCUCGCUGGAUCUCUUCUGACGCUGAGGCGCGAAAGCUAGGGGAGCAAACGGGAUUAGAUACCCCGGUAGUCCUAGCCCUAAACGUUGGGUACUAGGUAGUAGACUAGACAUGGGUUUACUGC